AUUGAACGCUGGCGGCAGGCCUAACACAUGCAAGUCGGACGGUAGCACAGAGGAGAUUGCUCCUUGGGUGACGAGUGGCGGACGGGUGAGUAAUGUCUGGGGAUCUGCCCGAUAGAGGGGGAUAACCACUGGAAACGGUGGCUAAUACCGCAUAACGUCGCAAGACCAAAGAGGGGGACCUUCGGGCCUCUCACUAUCGGAUGAACCCAGAUGGGAUUAGCUAGUAGGCGGGGUAAUGGCCCACCUAGGCGACGAUCCCUAGCUGGUCUGAGAGGAUGACCAGCCACACUGGAACUGAGACACGGACCAGACUCCUACGGGAGGCAGCAGUGGGGAAUAUUGCACAAUGGGCGCAAGCCUGAUGCAGCCAUGCCGCGUGUAUGAAGAAGGCCUUCGGGUUGUAAAGUACUUUCAGCGGGGAGGAAGGCGGUGAGGUUAAUAACCUUGCCGAUUGACGUUACCCGCAGAAGAAGCACCGGCUAACUCCGUGCCAGCCGCCGCAGUAACAC
rnacentral:rRNA from 1 species